rnacentral:rRNA from 1 species
UACGACUACAUAUCAGGCAUAUCAAUAAGCGGAGGAAAAGAAACUAACAAGGAUUCCCCUAGUAACGGCGAGUGAAGCGGGAAGAGCUCAAAUUUGAAAUCUUAAAGGGUUUCCCUUUACGAAUUGUAGUUUAAAGAAGUGUUUUCUGUUGGAGUUUCGGUAAAAGUUCUUUGGAAUAGGACAUCAUAGAGGGUGAGAAUCCCGUAUUUGACCGUUACUUUCCAGCUGUGUGAUACACUUUCAAAGAGUCGGAUUGUUUGGGAAUGCAGUCCAAGAUGGGUGGUAAAUUUCAUCUAAAGCUAAAUAUUGGCGAGAGACCGAUAGCGAACAAGUACCGUGAGGGAAAGAUGAAAAGAACUUUGAAAAGAGAGUUAAACAGUACGUGAAAUUGUCAAAAGGGAAGCGUUUGACACCAGUGUUGUUUAGUUCGAAAAUCAAUUCAAUAGUGCUUGAUUUUAAGUUAGUAUUGACCUUCAUCAGCUUGCUUCACUCUUUUCAGAAGUCUUCUUGAAUGCACUUUUCAGUUAACAAGUCAACAUCAAUUUCUUUUGUUGUAAAAGGGUAAUUGGAAGGUGGCUUGCGCUUUCGGAUCAAGUGUUUAUAGCCUUUAUCCUCUACAAUCGGAGAGAUUGAGGUCUGCAGCGUAGAUCCUUCGGGGCUAGAUACACUUGUGCUAAGUUAUAGCUUUUCAUAGACAACUUGUUGACUAUGUUUAGUCAUGUAGCUUACUCGCUUAGUGCUAUUUUACCUACGCUUAGGAUGUUGAUCUACAGAGCGAGAGU